UUUAAAAGUUAGUCUAAAAAGGUACAGCCUUUUAGAAACGGAUACAACCUUGACUAGAGAGUAAAAUUUAACACUACCAUAGUAGGCCUAAAAGCAGCCAUCAAGUUAAGAAAGCGUUAAAGCUCAACUACUAAAUUAAAUAGAUUCCAACUUACAAUAUGAUUAACUCCUAGCCCCAUAUACUGGACUAAUCUAUUAUAGAAUAGAAGCAAUAAUGUUAAUAUGGAGUAACAAGAGAAAAUUUUCUGCCUUGCAUAAGUCUAAGUCAGUGCCUGAUAAUACUCUGACCACUAACAGUCAAUAAAUAAUCCAACAAUAGAACAAUUUAUUGAUUAUACUGUUAACCCAACACAGGAGUGCAUCUAAGGAAAGAUUAAAAGAAGUAAAAGGAACUCGGCAAACACAAACCCCGCCUGUUUACCACAUCACCUCCAGCAUUCCCAGUAUUGGAGGCAUUGCUUGCCCUAGUGACAA
rnacentral:rRNA from 1 species